GAUGAACGCUAGCUACAGGCUUAACACAUGCAAGUCGAGGGACCGGCGCACGGGUGAGUAACACGUAUCCACCCUGCCCUUUACUCGGGGAUAGCCUUUCGAAAGAAAGAUUAAUACCCGAUAUAAAGGAUGGGGAUGCGUUCCAUUAGGUUGUGGGUGAGGUAACGGCUCACCAAGGCUUCGAUGGAUAGUGGUUCUGAGAGGAAGGUCCCCUGCAUUGGAGAUGCGACACGGUCCAAACUCCUACGGGAGGCAGCAGUGAGGUAUAGUGGUCAAGCGGCGCUAGCCUGAACCAGCCAAGUAGCGUGAAGGAUGAAGGGUUAUGGGUCGUAAACUUCUUGUAUAUAAGAAUAUUUAUUAUAUGAAUAAGGAUCGGCUAACUCCGUGCCAGCAGCCGCGGUAAUUC
rnacentral:rRNA from 1 species